rnacentral:tRNA from 1 species
UGUUUUGAUAGUUUAGAAGAACACAGCGUUGAAGGUGCUGAGGAGAUACUACUGUCUCAAGACAG